rnacentral:sRNA from 1 species
GGAAGUGGUCCUACCUUAGCGGUCAGCGCGGGGUCUCCCGGGGCCCUGCAGGGCGGGCAGGCUGUGCUAUCCCGCAGCCAGACGUCGGGAUGGUGCAGCUGUACAACCUGCACCCGUUCGGGUCGCAGCAGGUGGUGCCCUGCAAGCUGGAGCCGGACCGGUUCUGCGGCGGGGGGCGUGACGCGCUUUUCGUGGCGGCGGGCUGCAAGGUGGAGGCGUUCGCGGUGGCCGGCCAGGAGCUGUGCCAGCCACGGUGCGCCUUCUCCACGCUGGGCCGGGUGUUGCGCCUGGCCUACAGCGAGGCUGGUGAGUAAUCUGGAGAGCCAGGGGCCGCCUGGGGCCCAGCUUGAGGCUUCCUAGCUAGCGGACCGAGCGUCUGGGCUGCAGCUCUAGCUGGGGAGGGGACUUCUUGCUUCCCGGAAUUUGCCAGAUGGUUUCCCUGGGUCUGGCCGCUGAUUGCUUGAAGUCGCAUUGAGCUAUGCGGUUGUCGGGGCAAGCAUAGGUAUGAGCUUGCUUCUGUCGGAGCGGAGGACGCUGACAUCUCUUCGUCUUGGUUUUCUUCAGAAAGGCCUCUGGCUGGAUUCCACUCAUCUCGGAUACUUAAGCAAACAAUAACAAAAAACUCUUCAGUGCAUCAGAUUUCACAGACUUACCAAAAAAACAAGUAGGAAUAAGGAGACUAGUACUGUAUCCUGGAACCUCCAAGUACUCCCAGCUUUAACAAUCAUUCCACCUCUUGGCAGUUCUUUCACAUCUGUACCUCCAUCCACUUCCGGUCGGUUUUUGAAAGCUCACAUUAUGUGUUGAUUUUUAAAUGUGUGAGAUUAUUUGGUAGCAAUUGAAGAGAAAAACAAAGCUACAUUUCUACGUGCUUAUGUGAACUGGAGAAAUAAAAGGACUGAAAACUCUCGUGUGUGUAUCCGAAUGAUUGGGCAUAAUGUGGAGGCACCCUUCAGCAAAACCUUCAGAGACCAGAUGUACAUUAUUGAAAUGCCGCUUUCAGAGGCCCCCUUGUGCAUUUCCUGUUGCCCUGUGAAAGGAGACCUUCUCGUUGGCUGCACAAAUAAAUUAGUCUUAUUUAGUUUGAAGUACCAGAUCAUUAAUGAGGAAUUCUCACUAUUGGACUUUGAACGUUCUUUAAUUAUACACAUAGAUAAUAUCACUCCUGUUGAGAUUUCUUUUUGUGUUGGAUAUGUUGCUGUCAUGUCAGACUUAGAAGUCUUAAUCGUAAAACUGGAGUCAGGCCCUAAAAAUGGAGAGAGAGUUCACCACCAUCCACAUAAGACCAACAAUCGAAUGAGACGGACAGAAGAAGGCAUCAGUAAUGAAAUUUCACAGCUUGAGUCCGAUGAUUUUGUCAUCUGCCAGAAGCCCCUGGAACUUCUUGGUGAAAAAAGUGAACAGUCUGGAUUAUCUGUUACACUGGAGUCUACGGGAUUAGCUGAUGAAAAAAGAAAAUAUUCCCACUUUCAGCACCUGCUCUAUAGACGUUUUGCUCCUGAUAUUUCGUCCUAUGUCUUGUCUGAUGACAUCAAGCUACAUUCCCUCCAACUGCUGCCCAUUUACCAGACUGGUUCUCUUACGUCUGAUGGAAAAAAUUUGUCUCAGGAAAAAGAAUUGCUGAGUCUCUUUUGCUUUUUCUCCUUACCUCAUGUGGGCUAUCUCUACAUGGUUGUCAAAUCUGUUGAAUUGAUGUCAGUCUACCAGUAUCCUGAGAAGUCUCAGCAGGCAGUACUCACGCCACAAUUUUUGCACGUCAUUACAAGUAACAACCUGCAGUGUUUCACUGUGCGGUGCAGUGCAGCGGCAGCUCGUGAGGAGGACCCGUACAUGGACACCACCCUGAAGGCUUGCCCACCUGUUAGUAUGGAUGUCUGUGCUUUAAGAAUACAGCUUUUCAUAGGCUUGAAAGCCAUCUGUCACUUUAAAAACCACAUCAUACUUUUGACUAAAGCAGAACCUGAGGCCAUUCCAGAGAGAAGACAGUCACCCAAGAGGCUUCUGUAAGCAUCCGCUUGCCCCAGGCAUUCCUGCCAGUUUCUGGAAUGAGUUGUAACUGGUAUAUUUUGUGUUUAUCUUUUUUCAAAUCAUAACUUAGAAUGAUCAAAUGGCUUUUUUAUGGUGGUCUUUUUCCAGAGAAAGAAAAGAAGUUUCUAACAAUCUCUGUAAUACACUUUAUAACUGACCUGGGAACUUUUAGGAGAAAAUGGAUUAUAAAAUAGUUUCAGUAAAAAUCAAAGGUGUUUUAGAUUAGUUAAAGGACAUGCUUUUCUGUGUAAUUAAUGGGAAAGACUGAGCCUAUAAUGCUAAUUGAAACUACAGGACUUUUUACUGUCUUUCUUCUUUGACCCUUUCAGUAGUUACAUUUUUAUCUAAAAUUAUUUUCUGAUAUUAUGAAAGAAAUUAAUAAUGUAUGUCUUACCUUAAAGCACAUUUAUGAUCUAUAGACAUGUGCUGAUCUAUCUGAAAAUAAAGUUGUACUUUGAUAAC